GUGCUUGCUUCAGCAGCACAUAUACUAAAAUUGGAACAAUACAGAGAAGAUUAGCACUGCUCUUAUACAAGGAUGACUCACAAAUUUGUGAAGCAUUCCAUAUUUUU